rnacentral:lncRNA from 1 species
UUUGACCGAUCAAUCAAUCAUUGAUUUCCAAAUCACUCUUCUUUCCAUUUUAGCCGACACCAACCGAGCCUAUAUAUACCCGGCAUCCCCUCCACUUCGAAACCGCACCUCACACCUAAACACCACACCCUCGCCGGAGAAGAAGCUGUGACCGCCGGAAAACCGCUGCCUUGCCGGAGCAGACAACAAAGUCCGGGUAAUUCUCUUGUGCACGCUCUCUUUGGGAAAAUCUUUGAUUCUUAAUCUUAUUCCAAGAAAUACGCAACGCACACUAAGGUGAGUAUACAUGACCCAUUUUCCAUUUUCACACUUUUGGGUGCAAUAUGUAUUCUAUAUCAAACACACAUGUUAUGCUAAUGUAA